UACGGAGGGGGCUAGCGUUGUUCGGAAUUACUGGGCGUAAAGCGCACGUAGGCGGCUUUGUAAGUUAGAGGUGAAAGCCCGGGGCUCAACUCCGGAAUUGCCUUUAAGACUGCAUCGCUCGAAUUGUGGAGAGGUAAGUGGAAUUCCGAGUGUAGAGGUGAAAUUCGUAGAUAUUCGCAAGAACACCCGUGGCGAAGGCGGCUCUCUGGUACGUGACUGACGCUGAGACGCGAAAGCGUGGGGAGCAAACAGG
rnacentral:rRNA from 1 species